rnacentral:rRNA from 1 species
GACGUAGGAGGCGAGCGUUAUCCGGAUUCACUGGGCGUAAAGCGCAUGUAGGCGGUUGUGUAAGUCCGCGGUUAAAGCCCCUGGCUCAACUGGGGGAGGUCCGAGGAGACUACACGACUUGAGGGCAACAGAGGCACGUGGAACUCCCGGUGUAGCGGUGGAAUGCGUAGAGAUCGGGAAGAACACCAGUGGCGAAGGCGACGUGCUGGGUUGCGACUGACGCUGAGAUGCGAAAGUGUGGGGAGCAAACGGG